rnacentral:rRNA from 1 species
AAUGAACGCUGGCGGCAUGCCUAACACAUGCAAGUCGAACGAAGGCUUCGGCCUUAGUGGCGCACGGGUGCGUAACGCGUGGGAAUCUGCCCCUUGGUUCGGAAUAACAGUUAGAAAUGACUGCUAAUACCGGAUGAUGACGUAAGUCCAAAGAUUUAUCGCCGAGGGAUGAGCCCGCGUAGGAUUAGCUAGUUGGUGUGGUAAGAGCGCACCAAGGCGACGAUCCUUAGCUGGUCUGAGAGGAUGAUCAGCCACACUGGGACUGAGACACGGCCCAGACUCCUACGGGAAGCAGCAGUGGGGAAUAUUGGACAAUGGGCGAAAGCCUGAUCCAGCAAUGCCGCGUGAGUGAUGAAGGCCUUAGGGUUGUAAAGCUCUUUUACCCGGGAUGAUAAUGACAGUACCGGGAGAAUAAGCUCCGGCUAACUCCGUG